CUCAGUGUUGUGUGUUUGAUCAGUGUGCCAAGCAAUUUUUAUUUCUUGGGCCAUGGAUCCAUGUUUGGGCACAGCCAAUGAUGACUGAGGACCAGAAUUUACUAUUACAAUUCACACAAUUCACUGGACCAUUGAAUAAUGAUAAAACUGUGCACUUAAACCAAUCAUUUCCUUUUCAUUUUGAUAAAAGUCUGGGACAAUAAGUCAAGCGACCUGAAAUCACGCCUAGGGAUUGCCUAAGGUUCGCUAGGGACUGGCUUAACUGUUACGAUAAGAUUUCUCGCUAAACAGACGGUGUGUCCUACUAACCAAAGAUAUCGAUAGUGUGACGUGCCCUCCCAACUAUGAAAACAUGGAGCACAAGAGCUUGUAAUGUGUACUGAAGAAGAACUCAAGAUAAAGAUUUUCCUUAAACAAAACAUUUAAUAUAAUAUUAUGCAUCAUGAAUAUGUACAACUUGCAUGAAGCCAUUAUGUGCAAAUGUACAUUAUACUAAUGGAUCUCAAGUAGUUGUUCCGCCAGUAGGCCAACCCUCCAUAAUGAAUGAAUGCCAUUUAUUACAGCUAUCUACACAUUUACUUUAUAGUAUUGACCAAUGAAUGUGUUUUGGUAAUCAUGGUAACUUAAUACAGCUUGUGUGCAAACAGCAUGCAUACUUGCAUGCACAUGCAAGUAUUAUGAUGUCAUUACUACAAUGAUAUGCAGUGUUGCUAGUCUCAAUAGUAUUAUGCAUCAUUUCCUGUUGCUUUGUGUUCUGACAUGGCAGAACCUGUUCCUGGAGUGUGUGUAGCGUGUAAAGAAGAUACUAUUGUUUACAAUGUCGUCUUAUUUGAGUGUAUGGAGUCUCAUCUUCUUUGUGACUCUUGUAUGAACUCUAGUGAAUUGAAAGGCUGUCCUAUUCACAAGUUUUCGAAGAGAAGAACAAGUCCUAAUAGCUAAAUUUAAGUAUACUAACUUUGUUCAGACUGUUUCUCAAAUUUAUUCAAAAUAUAUUUCUAACAUAAUGUCUUAUUUAUUCCACACUACAACUUAAUUGAAAUAAAAAUUGUGACAACUAAGAAUCUAGAUUGUAUAAUAUGUCAAGACACUGCUUGCAAGUGCAUUUUUGCAGAAAAAAUAAAGCAAAUUAAACAUAAUGCUAUGCCAUAAGUCUUUAACACAACACUCAAAAUUUAUUAAUCAGCCAAAUUCAUAAACAAUUAUGAUUUUAUUGAUUAAUGAAUUAAAAAUAAAUAAUGCAGAAUUAAUACCACUAUAGGCACUAGGCUAUAAUUAAUAUUAAUAUAAAGACCUUAAUGUGGAAGUGCACAAUUGAAUUAAUACCUUAUUAAUAAUAAAAUUUCAUUAUUUAUGCAAUAGUAUGAAGUCCAAAAAAUUGGGCAUGUGUGCAGUCAGAAAGGAGGUGCAUAUAUUGACAUAACCAAACAAUGAAUAUAGUCCUGAUUUCAGUACGAUAAUGCAUGCUAAUAAUCCUACUGGUAUGCUAUAAAAGCAAAGUAAAACGUAACUUUUAACAAACUAAGGACAAAUUUCUUUAAGCCUUCAUAAUUUAGCAAGAUGCCACAAAAUUGUACCAGGUGUAAUAAUGACAGAGAUGUAUACCAAUUGGAGUACAUAGAUGGUGUGACUAUAAGAUUCUUUUGUGUGGUGUGCAUUAGAGCUUAUCCAUCAGCACUAAACAGAGAUCAAUUAAUGCCUAGAUCAAAAGAAAUAGUACGAAGGAUACUAGCAAAUUAAUUAUAAGUUACUUUUGCUAUAAUGCUACUAAUUUACUACUUUGUUUUUUUGCUAUAAUUAUAAUAAUUGAGUCAAAAUUUUAAA